CGGAGAGAUCACUCUCAUCGGGGGACUCAUUAAACCAAUACUUUAAGUCGAUUUUUAAAACUAAUGUAUCUAUAAUAUAUAUACGUAUAAGUCGCGGAAUUAACAGAGCACGCGUCCGUCCUAAUGCACGAGGAGUCUCUUACUGAACGAAAGAGUUCGACGAGUCGACUGUUUAUAGAUCCCGAUAAGUAUCAAAGUAUAUUCGCCAGAUCACUGUGGCGAUCACAAAAAAAAAAGAAACCAAGUGUUGUUAAAUAAAGUUUUCUUAUAUCUUCUUUUU